rnacentral:rRNA from 1 species
ACGCUCGACACCUACGGGAGGCAGCAGUGGGGAAUAUUGCACAAUGGGGGAAACCCUGAUGCAGCAACGCCGCGUGAAGGAAGACGGUUUUCGGAUUGUAAACUUCUGUUCUUAGUGAAGAUAGUGACGGUAGCUAAGGAGCAAGCCACGGCUAACUACGUGCCAAACAGGCCGCGGUAAUCUGAGGCGGGCUGGCAAGGC